rnacentral:rRNA from 3 species
AAAUUGAAGAGUUUGAUCAUGGCUCAGAUUGAACGCUGGCGGCAGGCCUAACACAUGCAAGUCGAACGGUAACAGGAAGCAGCUUGCUGCUUUGCUGACGAGUGGCGGACGGGUGAGUAAUGUCUGGGAAACUGCCUGAUGGAGGGGGAUAACUACUGGAAACGGUGGCUAAUACCGCAUAACGUCGCAAGACCAAAGAGGGGGACCUUCGGGCCUCUUGCCAUCAGAUGUGCCCAGAUGGGAUUAGCUUGUUGGUGAGGUAACGGCUCACCAAGGCGACGAUCCCUAGCUGGUCUGAGAGGAUGACCAGCCACACUGGAACUGAGACACGGUCCAGACUCCUACGGGAGGCAGCAGUGGGGAAUAUUGCACAAUGGGCGCAAGCCUGAUGCAGCCAUGCCGCGUGUAUGAAGAAGGCCUUCGGGUUGUAAAGUACUUUCAGC